AUUCAACUGAUGAGUCCGAAAUGAAACGAAACGCGCGUUCUGGAU
rnacentral:hammerhead_ribozyme from 1 species